rnacentral:lncRNA from 1 species
UGCCUCAAGGGAAAAGAGGGAAAUUGAUUAAGAAAAAGUCUCGUAUUAGUCGUUGAAUCAUGCCAUUCCAGCCCCAACUCUCAUUUUAGUGUUCUUUGAUUUAGAUUAUGUUCUACAUUCUACGGGCAACACCAUCUUUUUUUCCACUUAAUUAUGGUUUCAACUCAAAACACAAUUAUCUAUUCGAUCUUCAUGAAUCAGUCCAAAGAAAGAUGUAAAUGGACAAACAGAAGCUGUGUAAAGUCUUCCGGCAGCAUUUAUGGGUUAUUUCCGGCACGUUUAAUCGUCAAGUUGAGGAAUUUAGUGCUCGGUGGUAGUGCUUAUUUCUAAAAAUGUUGUCAGUAUAUAUGCUCGGUUUCUCUCGAUUUAUCUUGAUCAAGUUUUAUUUACGAGGCUACAUAGUACAUAUUUAAACUUAAAGGUAGCGAAAGGGGUGGGGAAUACAGAGUUGAGGUAUGAGUGAUGUGGAUAAAUAUUAAUGUAUAAAGAUACAUAUGUUCUGAUAUGAUAAAAUAACACAAAGAGAAAGAAACAGAGGUGUAUAGAAAGUAAGGAGAGAGUUCAUGGGUGGUGAAGCUUGGGGUCGUUAAGGUUGCAGGGUUGCAGUGGUAGUCUGCAACUGGUCAUGGUAGACGGUGGUGGUGGCAGUGGUGGACAAUAACUGGUCAACGGUGUCGGUGGUGUGAGCGUUCUCUACUUAAGCUCAAGGAAGAUGAACUGAAGAGAGAGAGAGAGAGAGGUGUUCAAUCUCAUAUUUGUUUGAUACAGUAUUCAAAGAAUUCUGAAACUUCAAAUUUGAAACUGGGCGGAAAUGGAAAUUUUCAGAGAAGAGAGAGAAAAGGUCUUGAAAACGUUCGAGGGCAAACGGAAGUUUUCUUUCCGUUAGUUUUCCAGUGGUGAAUUGCUGACGUGGUACUCAUCUCACACCAUCUGACUUUGAGAUUCGUUGUUGGGUGCUGGUUGGGUAAGGGUACCUACGUAUAGGAGCCAUCGUGGAGCCCAGAUCAGCUGUCUCGGACAUUCCUGUUCUGUUUCCUGUCCCAGCUCCCUUUGCGUGACACGUGUCUCUCUUUUCCCCUCAAGUUACUCUCUUUUUUCACUUUGAUUUUGAAUUUUUUUGAAUUUAGUUUUUGAACAAUUAAAUUAUUUUUAAACUCCAUUAAAAUUACUUUUUAAGUAAACUAUUUCUUAAAUACUUUUUUUUUAUAAAAUAAUUUAUAAUUCAUAAAGCACAGAGAGAGAGAGAGGGGAUGCUUCUGCACCUGGUCCUCAUCUUUUAUCUUAUCAAUCAGCUCAUUUGUACAUGGAGCGGAGCCUUAAAAGCAGGUUGUCGUACAAAACUCUAAUUUAGUCUGGGCGUGCCAUGUGUUUGUCAAUAAGUCAGUAAACUUUUUAAAAUUUUUGAUCAUUUUGAAAUAAAAAAAAUAAGAAAUUAAAAAAAGAUAAAUAAAAAAUUAUAAUUUUAGGUAUUAGUAUUAUUGGAUCAUUAGUCUGUUAGACAUUUUUUUUUAUUUGUUCCAUAAGUUCGGAAAAAAAACACUCAAAAAAGUCAGCUCACCCGCCUGCUUUUUAGCCCGGCCAAAAGCUUGAGCCCGAACCUAGUUCACUCCUGGGCUUUGGGUUGGGCCGACCUGAUUAUUGGUGGAAGCCCAUUCGAUUUUGGGCUGGGCCAAGCCUGGAGGAUCUUUUCGUCCAUUGCUAAUAUCGCUCACGCCCAUGUGGCAGUGUCACGUGAUGUAGCCUACGUGGCAUGCUGUUGAACGUCAACCCAACAAAUGAAUUCGGGUUCGACCAAAUACGAGAGAGCAUCUCCACAAAUUCUCUUUCCCUAAUUCCACUCUAGUUUAGCGAGAAAAACCUCAAAAUAUGUUCAAUGGAUGCCCUAUGCGGAUCUCUAUUUUUAGCCGUUGUUACAUGUUGGGAUUUUUAAUCAAUUCCCAUUACACAAUGGAAGCAUCUAUAAAUAAAUAAUAAUAAAGCACAUUAAAAGUUCUAAUUAACUCGAAAAUUCUACUCUCACGUGAACACUCUAUAUGGAUACAAUUUCUAAUUAACUCAAAAAUUUUACUUGCCCCAAAACACUCCAUAUGAACCAAUUGAAUAUAAACCCAAAGAUAUGAGUUGGACUUAACAAUUAUAGUCACUAUUCGUCCCAAAACUAAAAAACCAAUUUCCCUCUCUUCUCUUCUUUCCAUCAGCUUUUUGAAAAAUUAAAUAAAAUAAAAAGUAAUAAUAUAUAUAUAUAGUUAAAAGAUUUCGAGAAAAAAAUAAAGAAUUUUAUUGAGAUGAUUAUACAAAAAUGACCCUUUAAGCUUAAACUAAAGAGAUCCUUUGUAUAUUUUUAAAAUGCAGUGAAAAGUUAGAGAAGAUUGUUGGAGAUCUCUAACAAAGAUGGAACAAAUUGCUAUAAUUUGUCCAUGAAUGACUACAAAUUUCUAUAUUUCAGAAAUGUUAUUUUCAAUGGUUAAAUUGGUAUUUUCUUAAUUUUCUUCAUCAAAUU